CUCAGCCUUCUUUGCAAGUAGUAAAUGAAUCAAGAAGACGGCGGCCUCUCUCAUGCAACUUCGCCAGGGACCAACUGAAAUCCCACGAGGAUUUAUGACAAGGUUCAAUAAGGAAAGGCUUCAGAUACCUGACCUUCACAUCACAGCUGUCUCCGCCCUUACUUACGCCAUAAGAUGUUAAGCUUUCAAGAUGUCUUUAUCAAAGACCCCGCCGCAGACAGUGACCGAGCUCCUCACCUGAGCUGAAGAAUACAUUAAUAUGGAGGAAAGACUGAAUCCAAAGAGACCUAGUCCUUCCCAUGAAAAAAUCGAGAACAAUAAGCAACAUGAUCCUAUCUUCCGGCAUGAGCUUCCUCGGGAUAAGCGCAGGAAUGAGGCGCCAUCAGCACCUCUCACUCGGUUGAACACCUCUAAGACAAACAUCUUGAUGGAGGUUAAGGAUAUGAAAGAAUUAAAGUGGCCUUCAAGGAUGAAGUCACCCCCUGACACAAGAGAUGGGAGCAAGUAUUGCGAAUUUCACUAGGAUCAUGGGCAUACUACAUAGGAUUGUCAUGCUUUACAGCGAAAAAUUGAAGCCCUUAUCAAAAAAGGAUUUUUAAAGAAUUACAUUGCUCAUGAUAAACGACCAAGGAAUGACCGUGACAAUCAGAAAGAGCCUGGGGCCGAAAGCAGUGCUCAACCUACUGUCGGAACCAUUAAUAUUAUCAUUGGGGGCAUAGCAUCCGGCGGAGAUACAAGUAAUGGACGAAAGCAGUAUGCCCACCAACAUGCUAAUACCCCAAGAGAAUCCUGUGAUGAAGUCAAAGACAUCACUUUUGGUGUAAGAGAUUUGGAAGGAAUAUCAUAUCCUCAUGACGAUGCCUUGGUCAUCUCUACGGUUAUGGCUAACUUCGAAGUAAAGAGGAUUCCGGUUGAUAAUGGGAGUGCAGCAAACAUACUCUCGUAGGAGGCUUUCGCCAAAUGGGGAUCUCUCCCAAACAGUUCAAAGUAGUAAAAACUCUCCUACAGGGAUUUGGUGGUGGAGUCAUUAUCCCUGAAGGCAUCGUCAAGCUCCCGCUUACAUUAGGAACUAGUAGUACACAAGUGACGGAGAUCACACCAUUCCAAGUGGCUAAUACCCCAAUGGCCUACAACAUCAUUCUGGGAAGACCCCUACUGAACAAGAUCCAUGCUAUUGUGUCAACUUUCCACCUUGCCAUGAAGUUUCCCACAGGUCAUGGCAUCGGAGUAGUUCGAGGAGACCAAACAGCGGCUAGACAAUGCUAUGUUACUAGUAUCCGAGGAAUGAGUGCUGACGUCAUGCAACUCGCAGACCUUGAACUCGAGCCAAGAGAUAGAUUAGCCCCCGUUGAGGAGUUGGAAGUGGUCGAGCUCGAGCACGGGAAAGCCAUUACUAUUGGUCGGGAUCUCAAAUCCAACCUCCGGGAGGAGGUCAUCGACUGUCUGUCCCGCAACAUUGAUGUUUUUGCAUGGAAGGUGGAGGAUAUGCCAGGGAUAGACCCACAAGUAGCUGUCCAUAGACUUAAUAUCAAUCCAAGGGCCAAACCUGUUAAGCAAAGGAAGAGGCAGUUUGCACCGGAAAGACGUGUGGUCAUUCAAGAAGAGGUCGGAAAAUUGGUGAGAGCGGGGUUCAUAAGAAAAGUCCAAUACCCCAAUUGGCUCGCUAAUGUUGUUCUUGUGAAAAAGGUCAGUGGCAAAUGGAGGGUCUGCAUUGAUUUCACAGAUCUCAAUAAGACGUGUCCAAAAGACAGCCACCCGUUAUCCAGGAUUGACAAUCUUGUGGAUAACACAUCCGGACCUAAGCUGUACAGCUUCUUAGAUGCAUUCUCAGGGUAUCAUCAAAUCCUCAUGGUCGAAGAAGACCAAGAGAAGACUUCAUUCAUGGCUGAUUUGGCCAUAUAUUGCUAUAGAGUGAUGCCAUUUGGGUAGAAAAAUGCUGGGGUGACAUAUCAGAGGCUCAUCAACAAAGUCUUCGCCGAUUUGAUAGGAAAGAACAUCGAGGCCUAUGUGGAUGACAUGGUUGUAAAGAGUAAGAAGGUGGAGGAACCCAUAUCCGACCUAGAGGAUGUGUUCAUCACCCUAAGAAAAUAUAAGAUGAAGCUCAACCCAAAGAAGUGUGUAUUCGGCGUAGCUUCAGGAAUGUUUCUGGGUUUCAUGAUCACUCAUCGGGGGAUUGAGGCCAACCCCGAUAAGAUUCAGGCUCUGGCAGCAAUGGAAUCACCAAGGACCAAGAAAGAAGUUCAAAAGUUGAUAGGCAGGGUAGUCACCUUAAGCAGGUUCAUGUCCUGAGCAGCAGACAGAUGCUUUCUCUUCUUCAAAGCCCUCAGGGGUAAUCAUUGCUUUGAAUGGAAUGAGGAGUGCGAGAAGGCUUUUCAAGAGCUCAAGCAGACAUUGGUAUCUCCUCCUAUGCUCACCAAACCCGAGCCCGGGGAUACUCUUUAUUUAUACUUAGCCGUAUAUCAGAAUGUAGUCAAUGGUGUCUUGGUGAAAGAGGUUAACAGAGCCCAGCAACCCAUUUAUUAUGUAAGCAAAGUCCUACUUGAUGCAAAAACAAGAUACACUUUGGCAGAACAACUUGCCCUUGCACUGAGAGUGGCAGCACGAAAACUUCGGCAUAUUUUCAAUCACAUCCUAUUGUAGUGCUCACAAAUCAGCCUCUAAAACACAUUCUUCAAAAACCAGACGUCUUAGGAAGAUUACUGAGGUGGGCAAUUGAACUCGGAGAAUUUGACAUAGAGUUCAAGCCCCGCCCAUCUAUCAAAGCUCAGGCCUUAGCUGACUUCAUUACGAAACACACCCCAAGGCCUCGGGGGCCAGAUGGCUGCUUGAGCUCGACCAUAGGUGUGUGGCAAAUUUUUGUAGAUGGAGCAUCAAACUCCUCGGGCUCGGGUGCAGGGGUUAUAAUCAUAAGCCCAGACAUGCUCAUAAACAUUCAGUGCACACUGAGGUUCGAGUUUGAGGCGACCAAUAAUGAAGCAGAGUAUGAGGCCGUCAUCAUAGCCAUUGAACUUGCCAUCAAUCUCGAGCUUGAAAAUAUCAAAAUUUACAAUGAUUUUGAGUUGGUGGUUGGACAAAUCGAAGAGACGUUCGAUAGAAAGGACGAAAAGAUGAGCUUAUACUGCUUGAAAGUGCAUGAUCUCCAGAGAAAGUUCAAGAUUUGUGAAAUAGUGAAAAUUACUCGGGCUGAGAAUUGUAAGGCCGAUGCCUUGUCAAGAUUGGUGUUCAUGGGAAUAGAUGGGCUUGACAGGACAGUCCACGUCAAGAUUGUAACCGAGCCAAGCAUCAAUCAGACCGUAGGCAUCAUGGAUAUUGAUAAUGAGCCAUCGUGGAUGGACCCAAUAGUGGACUUCAUAAAACAUGGCAGUCUUCCAGAAGAUCCUCGAGCAGCGAGAAGCAUCCGGUCCAAGGCUCCGAAGUAUUGCAUGAUUGACGGAGUUUUAUUUCGUAGGAGCCUCACACUUCCAUACCUCAGAUGCCUUAGGCCUUCCGAAUCAUCCCAGGCCCUAGAAGAAGUUCAUGAAGGAAUAUGUGAGAAUCAUCAAGGAGCUCGGGCAUUAGCCUUCAACCUCAUAAGGUAUGGGUAUUAUUGGCCAACCAUGAAGAAAGAUGCUAAGGAAUAUGUCAAGAAGUGUGACAAGUGCCAAAGAUUUAGCAAUGUCAUCCACCCUUGUAAUGCCCCGACCCCUAGUGGACCAGAACGCUACUAACUUUACUUAGCUUAACCGGCGGUUUAGUAACAAGUGUAUACGUUUUAGCGGAAGCUUACAUCUUCGGAUAAUAAUUUAAAUAAAAAUACUUCAAAUACUUUAAAGAAAAACACUGAAUCAUUUUUCAAAACAACAAAAUGUAAUUUAUUUGAAGAAAAUAUAACUUGUUCUCGCAUUCUGCGUUAUUCAAAACUUUAAAAAAAUAACAUUGGAAAACAUUUCAUAAAAAUAAAUACAUAUCACUUAUUCAACAGAUUUCCAUGGGCUCGUUGCAUCACUCUCCAUCUUCUCCUCCAUCCAUGCCCAAGGUAGAAUUCCUUCAAUCUGUAGAGAUGGGAUUAAACCCGUGAGUUGAGAAACUCAAUAGGUGUCAUAGGUGCAUUCGUGAUCAAGCUAUACAUUUCAAAACAUUAACUUUAUAACUUUUCAUACAUGCCGUACCCGGAGGCACCAUUUGACAUGAAGGGGUAUGCCAUACUCGAGGGCACCAUUUGACAUACGAACAUUUCUUCAACAUAGAGGGGUAUGCCAUACCGAAGUACCAUUUGACAUACAACCAUUAACAUAGAGGGAUAUGCUGUACCGGAGUACCAUUUGACAUACAAACAUUAACAUGAAUCGAAACUUAUAACUUAACAUGAUUAAACACAUUACACCUCUACCUACCUUGAUUGAUGCUUUUGAAACUUUGAAAACUUAGAUUGAAAACCUCGAUGAAACUUGGACGUUGAAAGAAAUGCACUCCUUGGAUGUUUGAAAACCGUUGAAAAUUGAUGCUUGAAAACACUUCUUAAACUUCUAGGAAAAAUAGUUUUCCUCCCUCUCUUUUUCUCUCUUGGAAACUCUUUCUUUAGUAUGUAAAAGCUCUUGCUUUUGGUGUAAGAAAAAAAUGAGUGAAAUGAGGUCUCUAUUUAUAGGUAAAUAUCCCAUAACUUAAAGCAAAUGAAGGGUCAAAUUUCAUUUAAGAGAGAAAACAUGGGUGCCAUUUAAGUUUGAGGUUAAAUGCUUCAAUUUAGUGGGGUUAUUAUUGCCAAAAACGUGGGUGGCCCUUUGAGAAAAUAAUUGAUGAAAAUAAAUAUUUAAAUUAUAGAGAAAAAUGAGAAUUUUCAUUUCAGGCAAUUUCGGUCGACCGGUUGUAGUCCGGUUGACAUUACACAGCUUUUAGUGUUUCUAUUAUAACUUCUUCUCUCGAUAUCCGAUUGAGGUAAUUCAAAGUGAGUUGGAAAGCUAACUCAAAGAGCUACAACUUUUAUUUAGAUAUUAUUUUCCAAAUCGAAUGUUUCCUAUGUCGAAAAUGGGUCUCAAAUGAGACUAAAAAUCUGAAGUAUACUUUAGUCAUCCAAUAUUCAUGUCUUAGUGCCACUAAGGUGUCUAGAAUUAUUUGGGGUUCUACAACCCUCCCACAGAGGACCUCACUAGCAUUAGUUGCACAGCCCCAUUUGAGCAGUGGGGAAAUGACAUCCUUGGUCCCUUUCCAAUAACUAGGGGUCAAUUGAAGUUUGUGGCUAUGGCUGUAGAGUAUUUCACUAAGUGGGUGGAGGCCGAGCCUUUAGCAACAGUUUCAGAGCCUACGUUAAGAAGUUUCAUUUGGAGAUCCAUCAUAUGCAGGUUCGAGAUACCGAAAGUCCCCAUAAUUGAUAAUGGCAGGCAGUUUGACAAUGCACAAUUUAAAAACUUCUGUUCCAACCUAGGGGUUGAUCACCGUUUGACAUUGAUUUCCCAUCCUCAAAGUAAUGGUCUCAUCGAAGUGACCAAUUGGAUUAUAUUGCAAGACCUCUGUACAAGGAUUGGGGAUGCAAGAGGUUCUUGGUCUGACGAGUUACCUUCCAUACUUUGGACAUAUAGAACGUCCCACAGAACUGCAAAGGGGGAAACCCCCUUCAUGUUGGCUUUUGGUAUUGAGGCCACCAUCCCUAUUGAAGUCAGGUUGCCCAGCCAAAGAAGGCUUGAGCCCAAAGAUGCAGGGCGCACUACUGAACACCUUGACCUCUUGGAAGAAUUUCGUGAUCAGGCAGCUUUAAGAAUGGCCUCCUACCAAAAUAAAACAGCAAAGUACUUCAAUAAAAAAGUGAGGACACAAAGAUUCAGAGCCGGAGACCUUGUGUUAAGAAAGGCCGAAGUAGCGGAUCAUGAUCUGGGCAAGCUAGGACCAGUUUGGGAAGGGCCCUUUGAAGUCAUACGAUAGCUCCAAGGAAGGGCAUACAGUUUAAAGGAUACAUCAGGAAGACCACUUCCAAGACCAUGGAACGCUGAGAAUUUAAAGAUAUAUUACAAGUAACUUGGUCUUCCAGUUAUCAGUAGUCAGGCAUGCGCGUCAAGGUUCACGUUUUCAAUUUCAGGCCUGCGUGCCAAGGUUUAUUUUUCGAUAGUCAAGCCUGCAUGCCAAGGUUCACAUUUUUAGUUGUCAGGCCUGCGUGCCAAGUCUAUUUUCAAAAGUAUAAUAAGAAUUAAGCUAUUCGUCAAAAUAUGAUCUAGCUGCUAAAAGCCUUGCCCCGCGCAAGCAACUCAAGCCUUGCCCCGCGCAAGUAAUCAAAAAGCCUUGCCCUGAGCAAGCAAUUAAAAAGCCUUGCCCCGUGCAAGAAACUCAAGCCUUGCCCCGCGCAAGCAAUCAAAAAGCCUUGCCUCUUGCAAGCAAAAUCAAAAAGCCUUGCCUUAAGCAAGCAAUCAAGGCUAAAACUUCAUUUAGGUGAUCACACAGUGCCCGAUCAACGAUGUGAGAGAUCUUAUAAAAAGGCCAUUACUGUCCUCGGGAAUCAUGCUAUAGGUCGAUACAAUUACAUUGGCAUUGAGUCCUCGAGAUAAACAUGCAUAAUAUGCUCGAGCUCAAUGGAUAAUGUCAAAAAAUGAUUUUACAAAUUGAGUCCUCGAGAUAACUUGUACACAUGCUCGAGCUCAAUACAUAAUUUCAAAAAUAAUUUUGUAAAAUUCAGUCCUCGAGAGAGUAUUAUUUGUCGAGCAUGACAAAAAUAAAUCUUUGUUGUUGUGAAUAAGUACAACAAGGCUAAAACUUCAUUUAGGCGUCGAGUUAUUUAAUUUGUCUAGGCGUCGAGUUAUUAAAUCAUCUUAGGUGUCGAGAUAUUAAUACAUCUUAAGCGUCGAGAUAUUAAUACAUCUUAGGCGUCGAGCUGUUUAAUAAAUCUUAGGCAUCGAGUUAUUUAAUUUCUCUAGGUGUCGAGUUAUGGAUUCUCUUAAAGUCGGGCUAGGUCACAUCACUUAGUAUAGUUCUCAAAUGAACUUAAAGCUCAAGCAAACAUAAUCGAGUAACAUAGCAAGAAACGCAAGUUAAGCUCAAGAAGAACACAUUGAUUUCAAAAACUGAUUAAUCAAGUACAAGAGCCAAGAGUAUACAAAGACAAAAAGAAAAACAGAAACUAAUCUAGGUCCUCGGCUCUUUCUCCUAAGGCCGUGCUUACUUGCUCUUUUGCCAUGUCCUCGCCGUCAAUAUCGACCUCUUGGUCCUCCACGGUUUCCUCGGACUCUGAAAGCUCGAGGUCUUCAGCAACCUCAAGGAUGCUCUUUAAAUCCUCGGGCUUUGUGUCAGGCUUCAACCACAAAAAUGCCCGAGCUUCUUUCAAAGAGUGGAAGUACGAGCCCAUGGUGUACUCUCCCUUCAGCCCGCUGAACUCCUCGGACAUUUUGAAAUCUUCGAUCGCAAUGCCUCGAGCUUCAGUCAGGUGAGUUUCAAAAUCCCUCUUCAAACGCUCGAUCUCGAGCUUUAAAUCCUCAGCCUCGCCCUUGGCCACUCCAGCCUCUUCCCAAGCUCUCUGAAGGUCGUUCUUCACCUCAUUACACUCCUUCUGGAGAAGGAAGCGCUCAGCCUCCAUGUCAGAUAUCCUCUUCUCAUGUGCUCGAGAAGUAUCCUCAAGCUCAACAGUUCUCUGUGCCUCGUCUUUCUCCUUCAGAGAGAGGCCUCAAGCAAUACUCAGAGUCUGCAAUAUACAAAACCCAAGCUUAAAUGAUCACAUCAUAUAAACCCAUAAAUUACACCAAGUAAGUUGAGCGAUCUUACUUUCAGCAUAAAGGAUUCAAGAGCUUUCAUACCUUCAUCAAAGCCGAGGUCCUUUCAAUAUUUGUCCACGAUGCUCGACACCAGAGGACACCAAUCAGGAUCUCGAUUUUGGAAUGAAGGCACAGGAGGGACCCCAUCCUCGAGGUCAACAACCUCGGGGGUACUCCUUGAUCGAGGACGUGACCGAGGAUGGGCAAUUGGAGUUUCAUGAUCCUGAAUGAUCGGGGAUUGUCCCCGGGCAGAAGGUUUGCUUGGUCCACUCCUAAUAUUCUCGGGACCUAAAUCAUGAGCUCUCUUCUUUCCUCUUUUUUGACCUGGAGCUCGAGCCUGAGGGGCCUUGGACUUUUUAUUCAUGGCCUGUCUAAGGGCUGAAGGAUCAAAAGUCAUCUCUGCAAAAACAAGUCAUUAACAUGAGCACAAUUAUACAUUAUAGAUCGAUGAGGAAGAAGGCAAAAGGACGAUCCCUACCCUCAAUGCCUUUCACAUCCGUAAGAUCGAGAACGUCAUCCCCGACGAUGUCAUCUAUAUCAUAGACAAGAGGCUCAAGGUUCUCUAACAUCUCCCUAUGCCUUUCUAAAGACUCGAAAUAGGUCUGGCCUUUACGAAACCUGGUAGUGUCGGGCAAAACCCACCUAGGACUAAAAGGAAAGUCGCUAUCCUAAGGUAUGACAUAAAACUACUUUUCUUUCCACCCUUUUAAAGAACUGGGCAUCCUCAGUACUCUAAAACCUCCUCGAGAUGAAAGGUAGGCAAAACAAGUAUAUUGAGGUAGCUGUUUCAGGUCGAAGACCAUUCUACAAAGAUCAAUGUGUGGGUUAAUUCCUAGCUAUCUACAGGCUAUAAAAAAGUAGGUGAGCAUCCUCCAUCCAUUUGGCACGAGCUAUCCAGGGCUCAUGUUGUGCUCGACCAAUAAAGUCACAAAGAAGGGGUGCAGGGGCCAUCUAAAUCCGCCCUUCAGUGAGUCCCUAAAAAUUACAAACUCUCCAUCCCGAGCAAAGGCCAUUCUAUCCUCUCCCCCUGGCGUCCUAAUAUCACACUUCGGCAUGAGCCCGUGCUCCCUAGCCGUCAAUAUCGCUAGAUGCUCUUUAAAUUUACAAGAGGCCUCGAGGUACCUAAAUGGGGUCGGGAUACUUUGUGCCCGAGGUUGGGCAUUAAUAGGCACGGUCAUGGGUAUGAUCAAGCAUCCUACACCCUCGAGAGUAUUCCUCGAGGAGGAGGACGAAGACUCACUACUACUACUACUAGACAUCCUGACCUAGGUAAAAAAGUGCCUAAAGAAUAACUUAAGAUCUCGAGGUCUAACCUUAAAGUCGACGCCUAAAAACCCCACCAAAGUUCUGAUCUCGACGAUUAGCAAGAGAAGGUUUACUGAGAGUAAAAAGUGAAAAAUGAAAUGUGGAGAGGGUAUUUAUAGGCAAUAGGAACAGGUAGUCCAAAAAUCACUACCCCGACUGUCAGAUCUGGCCACGUGUCCUACAUCCAACACAUACCAUUUUUACCGCCUUUUCUUAUUUAGGGCUUACCUCAGUACACAUCAGCCCUUCUGAACACCUGUCUUCAAAAACUUCCUCGAGCUCACGUACCUAAGCUUUUUGCCUUCAAGCCUCUUUGCAUCAUAUCCUCGAGUGAAGGCUUCGAGCAUAUGUGCACGGGGGCCAAUGAUACUGACAUUUCGAGAUAACCCGAUCACCAUAUUAUCCCGAGGAUUACGCUACCCUUUUUAUGAUAUCAAUACAUUAAUGCUCGGUCAUUUAUCCCGACGACAAAUCUUGGAUAAACUUGCAAUUCCACAUAUGAAGUGCUUGAGCAUAUACUCACCUCGGGAGAUUAUGCUCGAGCACUCCCUGUCUUGCUGCUUUAACAUAUUACGAUGGUUGUCCUGGAGCAUAAGUAGUCCUCGAGUAUAUAUGUUCUCCUCAUAACUUUCGAUUGUUGACCCUUUAAUUCCUAUGCAAUUAGGACUGUAACUCAACCAUAUACUUGACUCCCGCAAGGAUUUUAUCCCACCCAAGAUUAUGGCAUUGGUCCAGUUCCUUCGCCUAAUAAGAAUCUGUUGGAUAGAGAUACCCAAAUAUUUGAAUCCCACUAGGAGAAUAUCGCUUACUACUAUAAAUACAAAACCCUGAGCCAUUAUUUAGGUACGUUUUUAUUAUUCUCCAGUUUAUAGCCUCACGCAUAUAAUUUCCUUUCUGACUUAAGCAUCGGAGGGGCGACGAGAACAUACCUCGUUGCCUUUGUUUCAGGUAUCAGAAGACUACGAUCAUGCUCAGUCCAAAUCAACAAGCUUGGGAAAUCUGCAGGUAUGAUUUUUGGUAGCAUCACUUUCCAUCCACAGACUUACUUUUCCAUAUUUCUGGGUCAUAACCUUAUCCUUCUUAUUUAUUCGAAUGGUUGUAUGAGAAAAAUGAGAAUUGAAUUAAAUAUAAUAUUUCGAUUAUUUAGUUCUUCAUUUUCUCUUUCUUUUAUUUAUUCAUUUAUUUUUUUGGGUGGGGGUGGGGGUGGGGGUAGCGGGCAAAAUAUUCACCAACGUCCAUGAACAAGACUCUCUUUAUAGGUGAUGUUGUCUCUAGACAUGCUAAUCUAAAUUAGGGCCUUUGGGUAUCCAAUUUUUAGAAGUAAUGAAUUUCCUCAUUUUUAUGCUCAAUAUGUAACGUACAAGGUAGAAUAUUUACGUAGUGCAAAAGUAUAUGUUUGCCUUUAAAUAUUUAGUUUAUCAAUGAAAUUUGUUGAGGCUCGAAUCAAUGAUAUGUGAUGUGCUCCCAAAAUUUGGCUAAAGUCUCAUUACUGGAAAUGUAACUCUUUUUAAUUGAGGCUUUUUUGCAGAAUGACGGCACAUAUCCUUAUCUUGGCCCUUCAUUUGGUUUAUUUGAUGCCUUAGAUAUAAAAGGCACACAGUGCAUUUCACUUGACAAUUCUACCUGUCCAGUUCUUCCAAUGGUAUGAGUUUGAGAGAUAAAUGUCUUUUCUGUUGAAGGCUAAGGUUUUGGUCUAUGGUUUUUUUCUCUCUUGAAAAACUCAUUCAAGACUGAGAUCUACUUUUAGCCUCUGAUAUCAGUAAUAUGCUAAGUGAUUACUGAAAGAAUGAGAGGGUUCUUUCAGCUAUAGUUUAAGUAGGCAUGUUGAAGUUUCUUGGGUAAUUCUUUGUUGUUCAGCAGUUUAUUAUUGAAGAUGUAAGUAUCUUGUACUUUUCUGUUUUGUUGAAAAAAUUGAUAUGUAAUCUUUGUUGCCAUUUUAGACUAUAUAGGCGCUAGAUAUAGUCGUCGAACCUGUGGGACUUAGAUUGAAAGAAAUUGCUUGUGCUCAAUCUUUUAAUUUUCUACGAGUUUACUUUCAGUUGUUUGUAACAACAUGAAAUCUUGUUUUAUUAUCUUGUUAUCUAGGACUUUUCAGCAGUAUUAGAGCUUAGACUGAGAACAAGAUACCUAGAUCUUUGUAGAAAGAGAUAAAUUUGUUGCAAAUCUAAAGUAUUUUUGAACUUCUGUUAAGCAAAACCGAAAGACAUCCUGUUUUUAUAAACUCACUAGGUGAGAUCCUUUAAUUUUUGUAAAAUAUUUUUCAAAAUUUGAGUUUCUUGAUUUUUCCUUGAUUGACCAUAUGCUGAAACCAGUGAAGAUUAAUCUUUGUCCAAAGGCUCAAAUGAGGCUUCUUGCAGAAGAAAUCUCUGAAACAUAGACUUGUGAUCUCUGAUAUUGUGUUCUUAAUUUGUUUGUUCUGCACGUUCCUUGACUGUGAUUGAAACUUGAAAAAAUCUUGUACUACUAAGUGUACUGCUGUGAUUUGCGAUUGAUACUUUUUUGUAAGUCUCUAAUUGAGCCGUAUUAAUUUUUUACUCCAAUUUGCGCAUCACUGUUAAUAACAAAAAUGGCAUCUACUAAGUUUGAAGUUGCACAAUUUAAUGGGAAAGGUGACUUUAAUAUGUGGAGUCAAAAGAUGAAAGCCAUUUUAAUGCAAAUGAUUAGAGCUUAGACAAUGGUUUACCUGUAGACUUACUUCAUACAAAGAAAGUUGAACUUGAAAAGGUUGUCUGGAAUACUAUUUUCUUAUACUUUUCUGACAAUGUGAUAAGGACUAUUGGUGAAUCCCAGACUGCUUCUAAACUUUGGAUCAAACUUCAUGCUAAAUAUGUGACUAAGACUAUUCCAAAUAAGUGUUAUGUGUUAAAGCAAUUCUUAUCUUUCAAAAUAGAUCUUUCAGUUGACUUGGAUGAUAAUUUGAAUAGGUUUACUAAACUGGCCCAAGACUUACCCAACUGCAAUGAAAAACUUUCAAAAGACCAACUGAUUGUAGUCUAGUUAAAUUCCAUUAGUGAUAGAUAUAGAGACAUUAGGAUUUCACAAAAUAUGGUAUGGGGAAAAUUACAACCGAUGAAAUCAUUAAUGCUCUAAAAAAUAAUUCUCCUGAAUUAAAUCUGAAAUAAAAUAAAGUGUUAGCAAGAGGAAAAGGAUUUAGUGAACAUAAUUUUCACUCAAAGAGCUUAAAACGAAAACAAGAAUAAGUGGAGUGAUAAAAAUAAAUCCAAAAAUAAGGCACAAGGCAAGAAAUGCUAUUAUUGUGGAAAAUUGGGUUAUUUUAUUAAUGACUGUUAUAAGAAGAAAAAUGAAUCAAAAGAAAAGAAAUUUGAUGAUAAGAAUAAUGCUUUAGCCUGUAAUAAAGAAAAUAUUGAAGAUGGAAUGGUCCUUUUUAAUAUUGAAAUAAAACUCAGUGAUAAAUGGAUACUUCAUUCAGGUUGUUCUUAUCAAAUGUGCUCAAAUAAAAACUACUUUCUUGAAUUUGAAAAUCUAAAAAAAAAAAAAAAGAGUGAGAGAGAGAGCCACAAGACGGCAAGUAAUAAUGGGAAAUAACAUGACAUGUAAAGUAAAUGGAAAAGAAACUUUAAAGCUAUUACUUAAAUGGUAAUGUUCUAUUUUUUUUAAAUGAAUUAGAUAUGUUUCUGAUUUAUGAAGGAUGUAUCUCUAAGCAUGUUAGAUGACAUAGAGUUUGACGUAAAAUUAGGUCAAGGACACGUUAAGAUUCUUAGGGGUACUAAUUUGAUCAUUAGCACUGAUAAGUGUGUUUUUACACACUUAUUUAGUUCAUAAAUAUGACUUAUUUAUGAUCAAAGAAUUUGAAUUAUGGCUUAAUUCUAUGUGAUUAUAUUUUGUAGGAUAAUAUUGAUGAAUGUACUGGAAUUCAAGAGAAAAGAAAAGAAAAAGAACCAAAAAGGAAGAAAAUUCAAAGUAUGAGGACUAAGUUACAACAUUUUAAUAGUUGAUUCAGAUCACAAAAUGAAGACUAAAGAUGUUGCAGGUUUAAUUGGAUUAAAUUAAAAGUCAAAGGGUUGAAAAUGCAAGAGAAAGGAUUUGAAAGAACCAAAAAUCGACUUUGGGAGCUAAAAUACAACAUACGGAAGAAAUUUUGCCUGGGUGAUAGCCCAGUUAUAAAUAUCGGACGAUCCCCUAACAUAAUUUUUUAAUUAUCGAGAAGAAAUUCUUGGCCUGGGCGACAGCCCAAGCCAAUCGCGGCGAGAAAAUCUGGUUUCCUUUUCUGAAUGAAAUUCUUAUGGAAACAAAUCUUGGGGGAGUCUUUUAAAGCCCUAGGGACAUUCAAAAACAUAGACCAUGCAUUCAACAUUGUUUUGGGAGGAUUUGAAGAGAAAAAAGAAGGAAGAACAAGAAGAUUCAAUCCAAGAUUCAAGUUCUCACUUCAAGAAUUCAUUAGGAUGAUGUCUUUUCUUGAUUUGUAUUGUUGUGUUCUUCUUCCCAUCAUGUUAGGCUAGAAAAAUGUAUACUAGGAGAUCGAUGAACCUUGUAAUGUGAUAUUUAAUUCUUUGUUCCGUAUUUUGACAUUAAAACACGUAUUGAUUGUUUGAAUGAUUUAUAUGCAUUUAAUUGCCUCCAUGAUUAUGGGUCUGUAAUUGUGUGAGUUUUUGUGGUUUGUUUCAUCUAUUCGAAAGAAUAGGAAUAAAUUCGACAAGGUACAAAUCAUCGUAGGGUCCGAUAGAGGAUAGAAAUAUACCCAUAUGCUUUGCGUGAAUCUCUAAGUACUCACAAAACUACAUGUAUUCUCGUAUAUUUGCAUCCGUCAUAGAGAUAUAGGCUGGUUGUGUAUGAGGAUAGGUUCAAUUCAUCUCGAGAGAGAGUGUUGGAUAGAUUUAGGAGUAUUGAUUCUUAAACAUGUCACCGUGUUGUCAAAGUUUGGAAUUGAAGUUAAAUUGAACAUUACUUGAGAAUUCGUGAUCCUAGUAUAUCUCACAUUCAUUUAAUACAUUUAACCUGAGUCCCAAUUAUCAAACUGCAUUUUAGUUAAAUUAAACGUUGUUUUGCAUAGCAUACCAUCCAAUUCAUAAUAUUUGUACUCGAGCUUAGAUUUAGAAUUUCUUAGGAUAAAAACUCAUAAUUGAUCAUUAUUACUUGUUAACGAAUCGUACACUUGCAGUGAUUUAAAUCGAAAGGAAAUAUUUCGUGAACAAAUUUUUUGCGCCGUUGCCGGGGAUUGAGUAUUGUUUAAUUUUAUUUUUCUAGGCACUAAUUCGAACUUGAAAUUUCUAUUUUUAUUAAUUUUUGUUUAGGUUAUUUUAUUUUUAUUUUUAUUAUAGUUCUUCAAAUUGUUUGAAUCUGAGUGAUACUAGCGAUUUUCUCACAGAGAUGCAUGCUAAGAUCGAUUGGCGGAGAAUUUUAUUCCAGUUGAUCCUGAAAUUGAGCGCACUUUUCAUCGACUGCAAAGAGAGACUCGAGAAGCACAGUUGCAAAUGGCUAACGAACCUAACAACCAUGUUAUCCCAACUAAUGAAGGAGAAGGCGGUAAAUGAAGGAAAUGAAAUUUUGGAAGAUUUCUAGACUCCUCAAGUAAUUCAAAGCUAGUCCAACAUAGUGUAUCCACCGUUUAGGCAGCCUAAUUUUCAACUGUCGACUACUAUGAUACAGCUGUUUUAGAAUGGACACCAAUUUUAUGGCAGAGUCGAAGAAAAUCCACGUACACACAUAUCUUGAAUCUUGGAUAUGUGUCAACACUUUAGGUAUAAUGGAAUUUUGGAUGAUGCUAUUAGGCUAUGGUUGUUUCCAUGUCCACUGCGGGAUAAGGCAUCUGAAUGGUUGGAUUCACUUCCUAUUGCAAGCAUCAUUACUUGGAACAAGUUGGCUCAUAAAUUCUGACGAAAUUGAGACAUGAGAUAUCGAUAUUCAGUCAAGGGAAAUCUGAAUUAUUUGACAAAGCCUGGAAUAGAUUCAAAAAUAUGCUCCGGAAGUGCCCUUAAUAUGGGUUCGAUAAAAAGACCCAAAUCUGAUUCUUCUAUAUAUGGUUAUUGUCGUACUUCAAAAGCAUGGUGGACUCAUCAUCAGAUGGCUCAAUAUCUACAUGAACAAUGGAUGGAGCAUUGGAAUUGUUUGAGAAAAUGGCUACCACUUCAGCUAUGUGGUCCUAUGAGCUGGUGAUUCAGAAGAAGCCUCCAAGUGUCUAUGAGGUAGAUGCAUAUUCAACCUUAUUAGUAAAGAUUGACUCACUAGUUCAUAAGGUGAAAAGUACCACAGUCAGGAAAUGUAGCAUAUGCAAAGAAACCAAAUUGUGAAGAAUGUGGAGCGAAUUAUAGUACGGUGGAAUGCCCAAUUCUGUCAUAGGGAAUGGAACAAGUAGAGUACGCGCAAUGGGGUUAACAUCAACAAAACUAUCAAAAUUCAAAUAGUUACAAUCAUAGUUGGAAAGAACAUACAAAUCUCUAGUGGGGUAGUACCUAAAAUCAGAAUAGAUCCCAGAGGCAAUUUCAACAAGAGAAGACACUUCAAUUAGAAGAGAUGUUUGCAAAGUUCAUGGAAAAUACUGAGAAAUACAUAGAAGCAAAUAACCAGUUCAUAAGAAAAAUUGAAACUACUUUGCGAAAUCAGAGUGCCGCAAUUAAAAACUUGGAGACACAAAUAGGACAGAUGGCACUCGCUAUGAUGAAAAUGGCACCAGAUAUGUUACCAAGUAAUAUUGAGUUGAAUCCUAGGGAGCAUGUUCAAGUGAUAACAACUCGAAGUGGGAUGUAACUACCUAAAAUACACAUUGAAAAGCCAAGUAUAAACAAUAAGAUAACACUCUCUACAGAAGAAGAAAUUGUACAGCACGACGAACGGACACAUGAAUCCACACCAAAGGAGAAUUCAAAGACUUCAUGGGGUAAGGCCACCAUUCCAGUUAACCCCUAUGAGCCACCCAUUCCAUUUUCCUAGAGGUUGAGGAAGCACAGGAUGGAGAACAAUAUAAGAAAUUUCUCGAAAUCUUCAAAAAACUCUACAUCAACAUCCCGUUCGCCGAUGUACUAUUCCAGAUGCCCAGCUAUGUAAAGUUUUUGAAGGACAUAUUAUCAAAUAAACGCAAGCUGGAGGAUAUGAGACAGUGAUGCUAACCAAAGAAUGCAGCACCAGGAUCCAAAAAAAGCUCCUACCAAAACUAAAAGAUCCAGGGAGCUUCACUGUCCCUUGCACAAUUAGUGAUUUUUAUUUUAAUAAAGCAUUGUGUGAUCUUUGUGUGAGUAUUAACUUGAUGUCACUCUCUAUUUUUAGGAAACUAGGAUUGGGAGAGCCUAAAGCAACUAUAGUAACUCUAUAGCUGGCUAGUCGAUCACUUACACAUCCACGAAGGAUUAUCGAAGAAGUAUUGAUCAAAGUGGAUAAACUUAUAUUCCCAGUGGACAUCUUAAUUCUGGACAUAGAAGACGACAAGGACAUGCCUAUCAUAUUAGGGCGGCCAUUCUUGGCAACUGUAAGAGCUCUCAUAGAUGUACAAUAAGGACAAUUGACUCUGGGACUGGGGGAGGAGUGGGCCUCUUUUAAUGUUUUCAAAGCAAUGUGAAAUAUCCCACCGAGCCAGACACCUAUUUUCAGAUUGACUUGAUUGACAUAGGAAUUCCCUACAAUUACGAGUUGAAGAAACCGUUAGACAUUCAGGAGGUCGAUAUGAUGCACCCUCAAUCCACUCUCACUGACUCAAAGGAGAUCGAGGUAUACACUGUGGAGUCUCAAACAGAUAAUGAGGGAGAGUCACACCACUUGGAAAAAGACAGGUUUGAAGUGUGGAAGAUAACUGCAAUGCGGAACAAGACCAUAUUGAACAAACUACGCAGGACUUCCCAAGCCAUAUUUAAAGUGCCAUAACAUGCCUAUGCCAUAAGUCGAGCUAUCAACUAUAAAAUAGUGCUGGUUGAUAGGCAACCCAACGUUUGUAUCCUUUCAUUUACUUCGUUUGGCAAUAGUUUAGGAACCUUUCAUUUUUUUAGCAUUAUCAAUAGUUUUAGGUCAUCGGUCAUGCAUCCCUAUCACAUGGAAUCUAGGCAUGGUCCACACGAGUCCCAAUGCACUAAGCACGAGUUAUGAGCUUGAAGUCCUAUUUUAGUCAAUCUUGUGUCAAAUUGAACAAAGUGAAUGUUUUGAGUGAAGUUUCAUUGGUGAUUCAUAUUUUUGUGAUAUAAACCCUAUGUUGAGACAUAAAUUAUGCAUUCUGCACACCAACAAUGUACACAUGCACCUUGAAACAAGUUUGGGGGAUUUGUGCACUACCUAGGUUAUUUCUUACCUCAGUUGCAUCUGUUUACACCAUGUAAACUAAUACGCAUACUUUGCACUUUUACAGGAUGCUGUCAAAAAAAAUGUCACAGGGAAAGGAGAAACACUACGGGUCCUAAUUUUCAUUCAACACCUCCAUAUAGAUCAGGAGAGUACUCGUAUCCCAUCUUGCACUUUUAGUUUAUUAUUGUCCUUCAAUUAUGUCUGUUUAUACUUUUAUUUCAUCUUCACAUUGAGGAUAAUGUAUUAUCUAAGUUUGGGGGUGGUGACAUAAUCUUGGACACGAACAUCUUUUCAUCAUUUUGCCUAUAUUCAUCAAUAUCUAUGUUUUAUGACUGCAUAUCAUGUGCUUGAUGAGUGUUAAAAAAUUCUUUGCAUUUUAUUCAGUUUGCUGUUUUUCCAUUCUUGCAUGAUUAUAUGGGCUUGAUAGUUUUGCCAGCUAUGAUGUGAUAUUGGAUUGGUAUAAAUUACAAACUGUGGAUAUGGUGCUGAAUAGAUUAACCAAUACUUAUUGAUGUAAUGCUUGACAUUCUUUAUGCACCCCACUUAUGCUCAACAUGUUAGGUUAGUGAUUGGGGUUUUGAACAUAAAGUAGGAAAAGAAUGAUAACCCUCUACUAAAUCAAAUAGUAAACUACCUUAAGAUGGUUUGGAGAUGGUUGAACAAUCAUAGGAAAGCAUUGAGAUAAGUGGGGGCUCCGUACAUGAAUUCUAUUGUGUGGAUUGCUUAGACCAGUGAGAUGAAAAUCUUAAAUUGAGGGUUAGUUUUGGAGGCUAAAUGUCUAGAAAAAUAAUAAAGGGCAUAAAUCUAACUUGUGUAAACAGGACACCUUUUUCAUGUCUUUAUAAUUCGAGCAAGUAAGCUUGUAAGGAUAUUUUAAAAUUUGGUGCCGUAAAGCUAACAAGCUUGGGAGUCAUCAACCCAAAGCUCAUUACAUGGAUCAUACAAAAAGCAAAAGGGGAAGAGAUGAAUAAAAAGUUAUCCGAUCAAGCCUUUAUAACUCGAGUAAAUAAGCCUGCAAGGGUUUAAAACCUGAUGCCCUAAAGCCAACAGUUUGGGAGUCAUCGGCCUAAAGCUCGCUACAGGGGUUAUACAAAAAGAAAAUGAGAAGAUAACAUAAAAAAAAUAUUCAGAAAAUAAGUGAGAAAAGACACGAUAACAUCAAGAGACCCUUGGAUAUUUGGUUGAAGAAACUAUACCUUUGAGGCGAGCUUAGUAACUUAGUUUAAUCUUAAGUGUUGAAGCAAUCAAAUCUAGAAAGCCUUCAUUUGUUAAUAUGUGAGCUUGUGAUAGUGAGAUUUAUCCACACUAAGAAAGGGUAAGGACUGUAGAUACCCAAAAUCCUAACUUUAAAACACAACCCCGGGAUAACUGAGUGAAAAGAAUAAGUUUGGGGAUUGUGUACCUCUCGAGCGAAGAAAGGACAUAUUUGACCACUAUGGGUUGGGACUAACCCCAUCAUAAACUAAAUAUGUUAGCAUGAUUUCACACAUGCACGUCGGGUAUGCAAUUAACAGGUAAAGGUUGAUUUCAUUCUUACACUAAUCAAAAAAAAAAUUUAAGUUAAAUACUUAGUCUAGUCCCGAGAUAGGGCAAGUUAUUAAGUCAUGUUUGUUUAGUAUUGAGCCACUAUUUUUUUGAGGAUAAACAAUAGUUUAAGUUUGAGGGGUUUGAUAAGUGUGUUACUACACACUUAUUUAGUUCAGAAAUAUGACUUAAUUAUAAUCAAAGAGUUUGAAAUAUGGCUUAAUUCUAUGUAAUUAUGUUUUGUAUGACUAUAUUGAUGAAUGCGGUAGAAUUUAAUAAAAAAGANUUUACUUCUUAAUAAUAAAACCUGGGAAGUGGUUGAAAGACCUAGAGGAGAUAAGCUAACUGAUUGUAAGUGAAUUUAAAUGAUAGAAGAAGGUGGAUGGGGAAAUAAAAGUAUUAGUUAUAAAGCUAGACUUAUAGCUAAUGGGUUCACAUAAAAGGAAGGUGUUGACUAUACUGAAAUUUUUUCAUCAUAGUUAAAUAUACAACUAUUAGAUGCAUUCUUGCUCAUAGUGUUAGCAUAAUUAGUAGAUUCAUGAGUAACCCUGAAGAAGAACAUUGUAAUUCUUUAAAGUGGCUUCUAGGAUAUCAGGAAGAAAUUUUAGAUUUUGGACUUGUUUUUAAAAUGAAUAAAGAUGGGAUAACUUUUAAAGGUUAUACAGAUCGUGAUUUUGCUAGAAAUAGAGAUAAUAGGAAAUCUGUUUUAGCUUAUUUCUUUACACUGUGUGGCACUGUAAUUAGUUGAAAAUCUCAAAUUUAUAAGGUUGUGGCUUUGUCCUCAAUUGAAAAAAAUACAUUGUUGCUUCUGAUGCUAUUAAAGAAUGUAUUGGUUAAGUAGGCUAUUGAGUGAACUUGGUUUUACUGACGAAAAUGCAAUUCUGCACUAUGAUAAAAGUGCUUUACAUCUGAAUAAAAAUUUCAUGUUUCAUGAUAGAACUAAACACAUAGACAUUAAAUGUCAUUUUAUUAAAGAUAGUAUUUCAUGAUAAUUAUGAAAAUUGGUAAGCUUUGUACCCAAUUUAAUCCUUCAGAUAUGGAAACUAAAACAAUACAUUUAAACAAAUUUCAUAAUUGUUUGAAGUUAUUAUCUAUUGAUACUUUGUAAUGUAUAAAUAAGUACUUAGAGCAAAUGAAAAUUAAAUUACUAAUAUUACUCUUGGCUGUACUUUUGAUCCCAAAUUUUUGGUAGCAAAGUAAAAGUUGUUGAAGCUCGAACCAGUGAUCUGUGUGAUGUGCUCCCGAAAUUUGGUUAAAUUCACAUCACUGGAUAUGCAACUCUUUUGAGUUGAGGCUUUUAUAUAGGAUGGCAGCACGUGUCCUUAUCUUGGCCCUUCAUUUAGCAUCUUUGAUGUAUUAGAUAUAAAAGGAACACAGUGUCGUUUCAUUUCUUCUUCUUCUGACGGUUUAGUCCGAAAGAUAAAUGCAUUUUCUGUUGAAGGCUAGGGUUUUGAUCUAUAGUUCUUUUCUCUCUUGAACAACUCAUUCGAGAUUGUGAUCUAUUUUUAGCCUCUAAUAUCUACAAUAUUUUGAGUGAUUCCUGAAAUAAUGAGAGGGUUCCUGCAGUUAUAGUUUCAGUAGGCAUGUUCAAGUUUGUUGAGUGAUUCUUCGUUGAUCUCAUUUUAUAAUUGAAGAGAUAAGUGUAAUGUACUUCUCUCUUGUGUUGGAAAAAUCAAUAUGCAAUCUUUGUUGCAAUUUUGGGCGAUUUAGUGCAACUGAGAUUGUCAACGGGGGAUGUAGGCGUUAUAUGAUCACGAACCUCCGAGGCUUAGGUCGAAAGAAAUCGCUUGUGUUCAAUCUUUUAAUUUUCUACAAGUUUAUUUUCAGUUGUUUGUGAUUACACGAAAUCUUGUUUUAAUACUGUGUGACUUGGGCCUUUUUAAAAUGUCCAACUAUAAACUGGUAACCUUGUUCUACAAAGUGAUAUUUUAGGAAUUGGACACUGUAAUAUUAAAUAAUAUACAAGAUAGACCAUCGAUGCAUAUGGAAAUGUUAGAAUGGUUCCUCAUGUACUUUAUAGAACAUUGUAAUAUAAUUCAGUGAUUAAUUGUGUAUGUCUUGUGUGUAAAAAUAAGCUGAUUUAUUAUCAUCAAGUUUUAUUCAUGCUCAUCUUUUUUGGUGUUAAUUUUUCAAAUAGUCAUUGAACUUUGCCAAAAAAUUUCAGGAAGUCACCGAACUUCAAAACUUUCCUAAAUAAUCACUGAACUGUGCCAAAAGUUCCCAAAAGGUCACCGAAUUUCAAAACUUUCCUAAAUAGUCAUUGAAUUAUGCAAAAAGUCCAUAAGGAGUCACUAAACUACUGAUGUAUGGGGUCCCAAUUUGCAAAGUUGAGUGACCCCUUAGGAACUUUUUACAAAAUUCAGUGACCAUUUAGGAAAGUUUUGAAAUUCGAUGGUCUCCAAGGAACUUUUGAUAAAGUUCAAUGAUUAUUUAGGAAAGUUUUAAAAUUCGGUGACCUCUUGAAAACUUUUGACAAAGAUCAGUGAAUAUUUGAGUAAUUAACUCUCUUUUUUGUGAUGCAUAAUUAUUCUUUCAUCUUAUUGUCCUUCAAAUGUUUUCUGUUUAUGCCAUGGCACCUGAGUAAGUGGCGUGUUGAGACCCACUUGGAUGUUUGAAUGGCCUAUAAUUUAUACCAUUAUGUAAUGUGCUAUCUCUCAUAAGAUUUCAUGGUGUCAUCUUUAUGGAACUUCGUGAUUACAUAAUUUUGCGAUGUUCAAAUUUUAAAUAAAUCCUAAUAGUGUUUCUUCAUUUAUAUCCUCUAUUAUUUUGCAGCACUUUAUAAUUUGAACAUAGAGAACUGUUCGAUCACAUCAAGAACAAUUCAAAAGGUUGCCGAUUCACAGGAUUCUGAAUCUGUACUUAUGAAUCUUUGUUUAGGUACCUCCAUUUUAACAAGUCAAGAGUUCCAUCUUUGUAGUCUAUCUGUAUCUGACAAAAAAUGUUUUCACGUUAUUUUUUCCCUUUAUUUUAAAUAGGAUCCAACAACCCAGUAUCUGGAAAUGCUAUAGUUAAUCUUUUUCUCAAACUUGCUACUUUAAAGAGGUUUAAAUGAUUAUUAAAUUAUUUUUCCUUUUCGAUAACAUUUUUAUGUGUCUGGG
rnacentral:lncRNA from 1 species